CAACUUACCUGGAUGGGGUCAAUGGUUGGCCAAGAUGGACCAUGGCCUAGGUUAGUGACCUCCAUUGCACUUAGGAUGGGUUCUAGCCUAAGAUCGGCCCAAGUGGUCGAGCCUACAUCAUAAUUUGUGCCAGUAGGGGCUUGCGUUCACGCGGCCCCUGC